GAGGUAUUUUUCCACCUCUGUGCACAGUAGUACUGUUCACAGCAGCCAGAAGGUGGAAGCAGCCCAGGUGUCCAGCAACAGAUGAUGGAUAAACUAAAUGUAGUCUCUCCAGGCAGCGGAAUACUGUUCAGCCUGUAAAAGGAAGGAAGCUCUGCCACUUGCUGCAACACGGAUGAACCUUGAGGACGCCACGCUCAGUAAAGAUGAAAAGAUCCCAGGUGAAAAUGGCGUGUGAAAAGUCAAAAGCUGAGGUGCACCUGGAGCCAGACUUCCUCCUGCCCUGGAGGAAAAGAACCUGAUUUUUAAAGUCCCAGUUUCUCAGGAUGCUGGCCCUUUGGCUUCCAAGCUCAGCCCACUUUUGCUGAAAGACACACCCAGUUCUGGGGCAGGCAGGCAUCUCAUCCCACCUCAGGGGUCAGAAACUGGCGUUUGAGAACAACAGAACACUUCCCAACAGCUCCUGGCCACGCUUUUGAGUUUUGGGGGAUGACUGAUACCCUUGCGUGGGCGUGUCCCUGAGCCGACCUGAGCACAAUCAGAGUGCGACUAAUCAGUGCAGAAGAAAUACAGAUGGAUCCAGUUCCUGUUUGCAUGGACACCACACUCAGAGUGAGAACAAAAACAGGACGUGAGUUCUAAUUUAAAAAUACAUAUAUAUGUCAUUGAGAAUACUUUUAGCAGUGGCCUGGAUGUUAGGAGAACUGGGUUUUACUUCUUACUCUGCCCGCCAAGUGGUCAUGUGACCUUUUGAGAAGCCACUUGCCUUGCUCAGUUUCCAGAUCUGUGAAAUGGGCUUGGUUUCACUUACCUGCUCUGAAAUAACAGAAAAUGUAUAUACUGACGUCUGCCCUCAGUUCCUGGCGCAGAGCUCCCCAAACCCUUUCAGUUUCCUAAGUGAUAGAAGAAGGAGGAGCAUCUUUUGUUCUAGUGUUUGGCUCCUGACCCCAGUUCCUCACAGAGCUCUCAAAUCCCUUGGAAUUUCCUGGGUGCUAGGAGUGUGUUUUGGUCUAAAGACCUGAUGCUUGGGGGACUCCUGCAUGGGGGCUGGUUGUCAGGAAGACCAAGCUGUGAUUAGAAUCUGGGAAUUCUCAGCCCCUCCCUCUCACCUCUGGGCAGGGAAGGGGCUGGGGAUUGACUUAAUGGUCAGUCAUGCCUAUGUAAUGAAGUUUGCAUAAAAAUCCCCAAAGGAUGGGGUUCACAUAGUUCCAGGUUGGCAAACACAUCCACGUCCCAGGAGGAUGGCACACCCACCUCCACGGGGACAGGACCCCCCCAGACCUCACGGUCGGGAUCACUUUGUCUGGUUCUUCCUCUGUAUCCUUUAUAACACCCUUUCUAAUAAAUUGGCGGUGUAAGUGAUUGUUUCCUGGAGUUCUGUGAGCCAUUCUAACACAUUAUCGAACCGCAGGAGGAACCUCAGUUUAGACGUGGUCCUUCAGAAGUAUAGGUGACAAACAGAACUCAAACCCCUUAAAUUCUGGGACCUGAAGUGCUCUCUCUAGGCCUGGAGUGUAAGUGACACAUGAUAUUUGUAUUUCUGUGUCUCACUUACUUAACAUGAUCAUCGCUAGGUCUGUCCAUGUUGCAGCAAAUGGCAUCAUUUCAUUCCUUUUUGUGGCUGCAUAGUAUUCCAUUGUAUACAUAUACCACAGCUUCUUUAUCCAAUCAUCUGUCAAUGGACAUUUACGUUGUUUCAUAGUUACAUGUUCAUUUAUAACAUGGAGUUCCUCACAGCGUCUAAUGCACACAUCUGGGACAAAGAUUCAGUUAAUAACACAUGUGGCAUGUUUACGACGGUGCUUAGAACAGCCUGUAUUCAAGUAUUAAUUCCACCAGGAGCCCCUGACUCAUCAUGAGACAAAAGCACCUACUCAGAUUUCUUCAAUUUGAAUUGUUUGCCAAUAUUUAAAAAUCAGGGUAUUUUAUAUAAAAUCUAGAUUUGUCAUUUCUUUUGGAAAAUCAGAAGCCCUGGCAACACUGGACUCAGAGUUCCCAUGGUAAUCAGUGAUAUGCUGGAGAUGAGUGGAGGCCAUCUCUUACAAGAAGGAUUUGCAACCUCUACAGUUUGCCACAGUCUCCGCCACUCCCUAUCGUGACUCCCUGCCAGCUUUAUGUUACACAUAAAUAAAACUCACACGCAGGAAACAAAAUCCAUUUUAGGAAACUCAUUUCACACACAGUCGUGCCCACACAGGAAUCAAGAGGAACUUUAGGUUUUUCCAAAACUUUCCUUCAAGGUCCCUGAAGGGGAAGCCAUGGCUGUUCUGUCAACCUUGCUGUAGCCUUCAGGUUGCCUGUCCCCCACCUGAGACUCCUGUCAGAAGGUGGGUGACUCUCCAGGAGACACCCCAGUCUCCCUGCCUGCCCGUGGAGCAGGUUUAAUCACGUAAGAGACCAGCCAGGUGUGUUUAGCUGAACUGCAGACCACAUCACAACAUUUACAUCAUAAAGGUACAGUUAGACUGUGGUAAACUGGAGUGUCCCUUAAGUCACAACCUGGCUUGACCGGAUAAUUUAGGUUCUGACGUUUUGCAUCCAUUAGAAACUUAAAUGAGCUCAAAAUUUAAUUAAUUGGGGGGCGGUGUCUUUUCUGCCAUUUUUACCCCAUAGGCCCUGAACACUUCUUACAGUACUGAGAAAGGCAGUGUCCGGGAGGGGAAGUUUCCCCUCUCCCCCUCAGCGUUCCUGUGGCUGGGCUAACAAUAAAGUCAACACAAGGCACAUGAACAGGAGAAAAAGAAGCAAAUUUUAAUUCGUACUCCAGGAGGUCUCAUAGAAAUGGGACCUAAGAAGUGGCCAAAAGAGGCAGCUUUUAUAUUUUUUGGAUAAAGAAAUGGUAAAUUUGUGAGGAACUGACAGGACAGAGGAGCUGAGGCUUUGGGUGCUUAAUUAGGGAAGAAUCUAAACGGAGUUUGGGUUUGGGGUGGUAAGUUACAGAAGUAGCAGGUUUGAUUAUACAGACUCUUGGCCCUGAACACCCUGUUUCUGGCAGUAAGGGUGUCCUGCCUCCUGAGAGAUUUAUGUCUUGCUCUCGGGGAGACAGGGAGGAGGGUCAGAGUGUCCCUCUGUGUCAGCUAUUCCUUAAGUAACUUUAAUUCAAAAUAACCAAUAUGCCACUGAGGCAUAUUUGAGGGCGGCCUGCCCUGGGCCCCGACAGCAGAGAGCACCCUUAUUUGAGACUCCUUAGUUCCUCUUCUACCAUUAUUAUCUCGGGAAAAAAGAUAAGUUGGGUGAGAAUGAAUCCAAACUCUCCACCAGCUGAAAAUUAGAAUUACUGGAAUAUGGUGUUCGAGUCCGUCUGUGGAGAGCUGAAGAAAUAAGUCCGAAAAGAGUCACAGAUCAAUGAACAGUUCCCAGAAGAGAAAAUCCAAAUGGCCAACCCACGUGAGAGGAUCUGUGCACCCUUUUCAAUAACCAGGGAAAUGCAUAUUAAAACAGCAACACGCUGUCUUUUCUCACGGAUCAGAUCAGCACAACUUUCCUGUAUCAAGUCUGAGCGAAGGUGGAGGAAACGAGCUCUCAUGCUGCUGGUGGAAGUGUAAAUUGCUUCAGCCAAUCCGGGGAGCUUUUUGGAUGAGAUGCCUGCAGGCCCUUGUUGGAAAUCGUUGAGACCAGAUGUGUUUCAGAACUUUUUGUUUCUGUUCAUUUGUUUGUGUGUUUUUUAGGUUUGAAAGGUAGAAGGUGUGGAAACCAUUUUUACUUCACCACUUCCAGUGAGCUCAGAAGCAGCGCUUUGAUUUCUCUGCAGUAGAAUGUGAAUAUUCACACGAAAAGGGCUGAUAUAGACCUUAAAUAGCCUCAACCCAUAGGUUAGUUUUCAGGGUCAAAGGGCGUUGUUGCAAACCUACGGGAAAAAGUGGUUUUAGAGGGUUCUGGGGGGGGUUUCGGAGUCAUGGGGAGGGAUCUUGGAUCUGUGCUGAGUAAACCUGUGUCUUCUGUGACCUAGCAGAUCACGUCUAAGUCCAUUCCUUAGAAUGCGGGACUUGAACUUUUCUGAGCACAAUCCCCAGUAAGAAACACAGUUCACCUGCAACCCAGCUCACAUGUAUUUGUAUGAGUGAAACAGGAGCUUCAUGAAACAGCGUCUGCCCUUCCCGCGGAGCGGGGUUGGGGGACGUCCUCUGAUGUCUUCUACUUCCUGUUUCUCUUUUUGAGUCUUUAACACGUACUGGGCACAAUUCUAAGCAUUCUUUCCAAUAUUUCAUUUUUUUUAAGUGGUUGGAUUACAACAAAAGACAAGUAACCCAAUUAAAAAAUGGGCAAAGGACCUGAAGAGUCGUUUUUGUGAAGAAGAUAUACAAAUGGCCAAUAAAGACAUGGGAAGAUGUCCAGCAUCGUCAGCCUCCAAGGAAAUGUGGAUGAAAACCACAGUACCACUGCACACCUCCUGGGUCGCUCACGUAAUGGACGGACAGGCAGCACCAAUGGCGGGGAGGAUGUCGGCGGUCCGCCCUGUUAGGUUUAGUGUUUGGAGCCUGUGAAUUAAACCAAGAAAGGGCAGAUUAGCAAGGAAAAGGACAGUUUUAUUCAUGUAUGUACAUGGGGUUCACAGAAAAAUGUGAACCUCUUAAUAGCUAAAGACUUAAUAGGGGAGACAAGGGGAAGAGCUUGUACAGGAAGAACAGCGGACGAGAAAUAAGAAGGUUGUGACCAUGUUUGUUUGAGCAGGUGCGAGGGGUCUGGUGCUCGGCCGUCUCCCUGUGGAACAGCGACCCACUGCAGGCGCGAGCUCUGAGCCUUCGGCGGGAAGCAGCGCCUGCUGGAACUUAAUGGCAUCCCUUCGUCUCAUCGUGUUUAUUUUACGGCUACUUCUAUUUCGGCAGCUGAUACUGGUUUUCUAUUUACAGAGGUGACAGAGUUUCCUUCUUAAAUACUUUGAUUUAAAGACAGACAGGAACUCGCAGUACAGGUGGGAGCCAGAUACUGUAAGGUUUUUCAGAGCCUUAGGAAAUGAGACGUGUGGAGGGCGCCAACAGAAGUCGUUUCCCCGCCGUGUUUAUUUAUCAGGUAGACAGAUCUGGGCUCCCUGCCACCCAGAGGGGCUCUGGGUCUGGGGCGGCACGGCCUGCUCAGGUCACGGCCCACUGUCUCCUUGAAUCUCAGACAAAGAGCUUGAUACCCAGAGAAGGGGGCACAGGAGGGUGGAAACAGAGCGCACAGGGAAGGCGGGCUCCGCUUCGACCCUGGGUCCCAGACACGGCCCCUUACCAGGAUGGCGGGCAACUGAAAAUGGGGGAGGGGGCGGGGUUAAGGACAACAUAAAGGGGAAAAUCUCAAGUGAGGAAAUGUCCUAUCUACCAUUUUGUUGCUUCCCAUGGGUGGUUCUCUGCUGGGGAAAUUUCCUUACUACCUUAAAUUAAGCACACCGGCGGCCAGCAAGCUGGGCCUACCCAGAUUACUUGUUAGCUCUGUUUCUGUGUUUCCUUUUUUGUUUGUGUAAUUAAACUUAUUUAAAUAUUUUUUUAA